GAUCACUGUCAUCUCAGGAGAAGAGGAACCGCUGACCAUCCCAGUUGGGGCAAAGCCCAGGGGCAAGACAUGGCCACCACACAGAUGGGACCUACUGGGAAAGGUGGACAACAUGCAUGCACAGACUGAAAAUUAUAGCAUAGUGACGGAAAAUACAAGGAAGAAUCAAAUGGAAAUGACAGAAAUAAUAAACAUGGUAUCCAACAGAUUUAACAAUAGACUUGCCACAGCCAAAGUAAUAAUCAGUGAAGUUGUAAAUAGAUGGAUCAAUAGAAUCCCAGGAGAAAGAAAGAAUGAAAUAGUGGGAACCAUUUGAAGAGAUAAAAACCACAAAUAUUUCAGACAUGACUAAAGACAUAAAACCACAGAUCCAAGAAGUGUAGAAGACUCCAGACAAGAGAGAUACCAAAAUCACACCAAGUUCAAAUUGCUGAAAACUAAAAUAAAGAAAAAUCUUAAAGAGCUGCCAGGGUGGAGGUAUGAUGGGAGGACACAAAGCAGUCAGGGUAACAAAGGGUAGGAUCCUGGCAGAUUUAUCACUAUAACACAAGCCAGAGGCAGCAGUAUGACAGCUUUAAAGUAUGGAAUGGAAAUGUUUCCACACAGAAUUCUACAUGUACCUGAAAAAAUACCUUUGGCAAGUAAGACUUUUUCAGACUGGCAACAUCUGAGAUCAUUCACUCCCAGAGAAGUGCAACCUAAGAGAUGUUAAAGGAUGCUCAUUAGUCAGAAGGUGAUGAGACAGAGCAAACUCUUCUUAACGGAACUAAGAGUUCCUGAAAUAGUUUGAAAAGAAGAGAGAUGGAUGACUCCCCUUGCAGAUGAAGAGUUUUCAAGCCCUGGGGUCUAAGUGCCUCUGGUGAUGAUGGACAGGAGGCGAGGCACCGGGGAGCUUGUGCAUACCUGAAGUGGUUACCAGAAAAUGAGUCAAGCACCCAACUGGCAGCUGCCGUCUCCAAGAGGCCUGCCAUCCACUUGACUGACAGAAGCUGCAUUAACAAAUUAGAUGUUCACUAGUAAAAUUUCAAAGAGACACAA